GGAGAAUCUCCAUGGUAUGCUGA
rnacentral:siRNA from 1 species